AGUGAACGCUGGCGGUAGGUCUAACACAUGCAAGUCGAACGGCAGCACAGUAAGAGCUUGCUCUUACGGGUGGCGAGUGGCGGACGGGUGAGGAAUACAUCGGAAUCUACUUUUUCGUGGGGGAUAACGUAGGGAAACUUACGCUAAUACCGCAUACGACCUACGGGUGAAAGCAGGGGAUCUUCGGACCUUGCGCGAUUGAAUGAGCCGAUGUCGGAUUAGCUAGUUGGCGGGGUAAAGGCCCACCAAGGCGACGAUCCGUAGCUGGUCUGAGAGGAUGAUCAGCCACACUGGAACUGAGACACGGUCCAGACUCCUACGGGAGGCAGCAGUGGGGAAUAUUGGACAAUGGGCGCAAGCCUGAUCCAGCCAUACCGCGUGGGUGAAGCAGGCCUUCGGGUUGUAAAGCCCUUUUGUUGGGAAAGAAAAGCAGCAGGUUAAUACCCCGCUGUUCUGACGGUACCCAAAGAAUAAGCACCGGCUAACUUCGUG
rnacentral:rRNA from 1 species